GGUCAUCGCGCGGUAGUUCACGCUACAGCCUCCAUUAUGAGUGAGUGUAAAGGACAGCAGUCCGCGUCCUCGUGCUCCCGCUCCACGCAACCCCCCUCCCCAGGGAGAUUAGGAAAACAAAACAAAAGUCCCAUCCUAAGGGGCCCAGGGGCUGGAGCGGGGCUGGAGCGUGAGGCGCCCUUCAGUGAGGUUCUUUACAGCCUUCUCCUCACCUGGGAUAGAUCACCUCUCAAAAUGGGUUCUGGCUCCACAACUAUUUGCCACUUGCUCUUCAAUUGAGUAUCUCAAGUCACAGUUCUGCUCCUUCCGGGUGCUUUUCCCAUUAAAAGGCAUCUUUCAGAAAAGAUUUCAGCUUCCAGUACGCGAGAGGAACCUGGCCUUCUAAGUCCCUCUGAUCUGGAGUCAGAGCCCAAUCUUCCAGGACUAGCUUUGUGCUCUCGGGAAAGCCACUAACCCUCUCGGCGCUUCCGUUUCCUCAUCCACAAAACAAGACCUCACCGUCUGGACAAUCAGAGGAGUGUGUAGGGCAUCUCAGCUACCACCUGCUCCCUCCCAAGAUCACCGCCUCCCCAACAGGCAAGCAGAACCAGGGGCCCCAUGCUAACACGUGAAUUGGAGCUGUUACGGCAUGUGAUGAGCUUGUGGGUAUCGAAGGCAGGCACCUGAAAUCCGGGAGAAAGAGGCUGGAGAAAUUAGUAGCAGUGAAGAGACCUAAGGACCUCCUGGAAGUGCAGCUGGAGCAGAGACAUCAAAGGUGGCUGGAGUUAUCACUUCCCACAAGGGUAGCAACACGUGACCCUGCACACCAACACGGCACCCGCGGCUCCAUUCAGCUGCCCCACUGUGAGCCUGCCCUUCCCCUCUUCAGUCUGCAAAGCUCAGCAGGACCUGGGGAAGAGGCAGUGGAAACCCAUCAGACAGUGUCUGCUCUGGAAUCCCGCUUCCCUCCCUGUCCUGUCCUCUCUCUCCUUCUCCCUCCUCUUCCUCCGUUCUCAUUCCUUCCCUCUUUCUUUCCCAGAGUCUAAGCCUUGGACAGCUAGGAGUCAUCUCAGAUCGGAUUCUGUCCUGAUUCCAAGAGUUCCUGGGGUCAGUGCACAGCCAUCUUGAAGGCUGUGUGUGCUCUUUAGAGGUGUAGUUGUGGCAUUUAUGAUGGGAACAGAGUUGAUAAACUAGUGGUCCUGGACAUGGCUCCCUUGCUGAAAUAUCAAGAAGUCCCUCUUUUAGCUCCUUUAUGUCAACAGUGUGGGAUCAUUGACAGACUCCAGGGCUCAGUCUUUGGGGACAGAGAUUCUCAAAGUAGGGAUCUUCAGCUCAGCAUCAUACCAGGCACUGGCAGGUGCUUCAGUCUGGUGCCUAGUUUUUUGCUUGUUUGUUUGUUUUGUAAUGUCUUCAGAGAGCGUGUUCUUCAACAGUUUCCAGCACCUGAUGCCUUCAUUCAGAACUGAAGGUGGAACCCAGAAACAUCACAAGAAGCCUCCGCUCACGCGGGUCCAGGCUUCAGCUUCCUCGGAAUCACGAGAAAGAAGCCCAAGCGCUGUCACUUGGAAACGGGAGCUGUUGAAUUACAGCAAAGCACUGAGAGAGAACGAGGAAGAAGAAAGCUAAAGAGAGAACUAGGCACACUCAUUUUAACUUCUGAAUAACUGGACAGUACAAGAAAACCACAGUUUGUGCCCUCGCCUCCUGAUGACAUUUCCAUUUGCUGCGGUCUGGACACAGCUUGUGCCUUCUGAAACUCGUGUUGAAAUUUGAUUGCCAUUGUGUCGAUCAUUCGGCAGAGGCCACCGUCCUCGUGAAUGGCUUAAUCCACUCAUGGAUUAAUACAUUAGUCCAAGAAUGACUUCCUUAUAAAAGUGAGUUCUCACUUGGAGGGGUAAUUCCAGCUCUCGGCUCAGGCAAGAGGACCCUAAGUUUUAAGCCAGGCUUAACAACUGUCUUAGUCACUGUUCUAUUGCUGUGAAGAGACACCAUGGCCAAAGCAACUCUUAUAAGAGCAAACAUUUGACUGAGGGCUUGCUUACAGUUUCAGAGGUUUAAUUUGCUAUCAUCAUAGCUGGGAGCAUGGUAGCAUGCACGAAGAAGGCACGGUGCUGGAGAAGUGGAGGGGUAUGUCCUGAUCCACAGGCAGAAAAACAGAUUGAGAACAAGCCUGGAAUAGACUUCAAAACCCCCUUCCUCUAUACACUUCCUCCUUCCUCCAAGGUCACACCUCUUAAUCCUUCUAAUCCUAUCAAAGAGUUCCAGUCCCUGGUGACUAAGGACUCAAAUACAUGAGUCUAUGGGGCAUUCUUAUUCAAACUACCAUAGCAAUUUAACAUGAUCUACCUCAAAAUAAACAAAAUCAAGGGCUAGAGAUGUAGGUCAAUGGUCCUGGCUUUAAUCCCCAGUAACACUAAACCAAAGACAGAAACAAAAAUAAACAUAUAGGUAAGUAUGAAAGGGGGGCUAGUGGUAGUGAGAUGCCUUGGCAGGUAAGAAUGCUGGUCGCCAAGCCUGGCAGCCUGAUUGGGUCCUUGGAACUUACAUCUUGGAAGAGUACCAGUUCCCUCAAGUGUCCUCUGACCAUCGCAUGCAUGCAGUGGCAUGUAUGCCUGCACUCCAUGUGUGUACGCACACAGACGUGUUAAAUAAACACUAAACCCAAACCAAGACAAGCACAGUAGCAAGCAGGGCAGUGAGCUCUCUACUUAGCUUGCUCUUUCUUACCCGGAGGUGUGCUCUGUCAGGCUUUGAUGCAGGAGGAAGCCCCUGCUCUGGACCAUCCAGAGAAUAAUCUACAAGGGCCAUGUUUUAAAUAUACAGAAAGUUAGGAAGAAAAAGAUAGCAAGUACCAUAGAGAUGGAGACGGCAGCUGAACAUCUUCAAGUCAGCUGUUUUCCUCAUCUAGCGAAGGUGGCUGGAGUAGCCUGGCUGAUGAGCAGACGAAGACAGCAUUACCAGCUCGGGGCUUCCAACAUUCAGCAAAAACUGACUGGGGAAGUUGAGGCAGUCAGCUGUAGCUCCUGACUGAGCUUCCUUUCCAUGGAUGGAUUUCUCGACCUUUGCAAACCCUUCACCUCCCGGCUGUUCCCAAGGACAUGGUGCUUUCCAUGUUCCUGGCCUGCUGGUUAUUUCCGGCUCUCUUUGUCACAGGACCAGGGAGCCAGGCUGGUCCCAGUUAGGGAGUUUGGAGGAGACCAGGGAAGGCCUCUUUGCUUCCAGAGUCUAAUCUCAGGAAACUCAACAGAAUGUGACAAUUUAUCAAUAUAAUGUGUAUUUCAGACCUUUACCAGGGGACAAGCAGAUGUCAGAAACAUGUUUUUAUA